rnacentral:rRNA from 1 species
UACGUAGGGUGCGAGCGUUAAUCGGAAUUACUUGGCGUAAAGCGUGCGCAGGCGGUUUGCUAAGACAGGUGUGAAAUCCCCGGGCUUAACCUGGGAACUGCGCUUGUGACUGGCAGGCUAGAGUACGGCAGAGGGGGGUGGAAUUCCUGGUGUAGCAGUGAAAUGCGUAGAUAUCAGGAGGAACAUCCGUGGCGAAGGCGGCCACCUGGACCAGUACUGACACUGAGGCACGAAAGCGUGGGGAGCAAACAGGAUUAGAUACCCU